rnacentral:rRNA from 1 species
UACGUAGGGUGCAAGCGUUAAUCGGAAUUACUGGGCGUAAAGCGUGCGCAGGCGGUUAUGUAAGACAGAUGUGAAAUGCCCGGGCUUAACCUGGGAACUGCAUUUGUGACUGCAUGGCUAGAGUUUGGCAGAGGGGGGUAGAAUUCCACGUGUAGCAGUGAAAUGCGUAGAUAUGUGGAGGAACACCGAUGGCGAAGGCAGCUCGCUAGGACGGUACUGACGCUGAGACGCGAAAGCGUGGGGAGCGAACAGG